rnacentral:rRNA from 1 species
UACGGGGGGGGCAAGCGUUGUUCGGAAUUACUGGGCGUAAAGGGCUCGUAGGCGGCCCUCUCAGUCGGAUGUGAAAUCCCCAGGCUAAACCUGGGAACGGCAUCCGAUACUGGAGGGCUUGAAUUCGGGAGAGGGAUGCAGAAUUCCAGGUGUAGCGGUGAAAUGCGUAGAUAUCUGGAGGAAUACCGGUGGCGAAGGUGGCAUCCUGGACCGAGAUUGACGCUGAGGAGCGAAAGCUAGGGGAGCAAACGGG